rnacentral:rRNA from 1 species
AUUGAACGCUGGCGGAAUGCUUUACACAUGCAAGUCGAACGGCAGCACGGGGCAACCUGGUGGCGAGUGGCGAACGGGUGAGUAAUACAUCGGAACGUGCCCAAUCGUGGGGGAUAACGUAGCGAAAGCUACGCUAAUACCGCAUACGAUCUACGGAUGAAAGCGGGGGAUCGCAAGACCUCGCGCGAAUGGAGCGGCCGAUGGCAGAUUAGGUAGUUGGUAGGGUAAUGGCCUACCAAGGCGACGAUCGGUAGCUGGUCUGAGAGGAUGAUCAGCCACACUGGGACUGAGACACGGCCCAGACUCCUACGGGAGGCAGCAGUGGGGAAUAUUGGACAAUGGGCGCAAGCCUGAUCCAGCAAUGCCGCGUGUGUGAAGAAGGCCUGCGGGUUGUAAAGCACUUUUGUUCGGGAAGAAAUCAUGCUGGUUAAUACCUGGUAUGGAUGACGGUACCGAAGAAUAAGCACCGGCUAACUUCGUGCCAGCAG